UUUAUAUUUGAAAAAGAAACCUAGCAUCCUGGUUUUCUCUGGGAAAAUCUUAAAGAUUUGCUGUAACUGAGCCUGCAUUUCCUUAACACAAAUCUGCUGGAGCUGAACAUUUGCUGCUGCUUCCUUUAAACUUGACCUCAAUCACGAAGGUCUUCAUCAACUCACUCAGUGCUUUCACAUGUACUUAUACCCAGCACAUGCAUUGGCUAUGACCUUGCAGAAUUUGGCAUUAGCAACCUCAAAAACUCUGGAAAAGGCUUCAUUUUCUCCAGUCUCCUGGGAGAGGAGAGGCACCAUGAAGGCAGACCCAUCCAGAGAACACCUGCGACAGGCUGAGAAAAGCAAAAUAUAAACUAGUUAAUUUGAUCUCCAAGAGUUAAGCGGUUUUAAUAUUACUGACAGUAAUAUCAGCAGUGGUGUUGGAACCCCAUGAUCUCAUGAAUCAUAGAUAGCAACUGCUUACUGGACAUUGAAGCUUUAUGGCCAGCUGCCAAAAAAAUAAAUGCACCUUAAUUUUUAAAUUGAAUUAUAAAGCCAAAAAUAUCCUAUUGCUCUAUUCCUCUUAUUUUGGUGUUUACAUGUGACUUUAUAAUUUCCUUCACUUGAAAGAUUUUAACUUUAAAGGAAACUUUACUCUGAACGUUUAGGACAAUUCAUAGAUAAUCAAAUUGAUUAUCAUGUUUUCAAUGUUAAAUAUUACUUCAUAUGUCUUUUUACAACCUUCAGAAUAAGAAAGCCAGCUAUGAAAUACCAAGUCUUGACUAGUAGUGCCACCUAGCAUCACAAAGAAAAAGUUGUUCAACUACUUUGCAAAGCAUUGGAAAUUUAUCAAAUCAUCUAAUAUACUAUCUCCUUGAUCCUUAAUCCAGAGGAAAAUAAGCAGACAUGAUCAAUUAGAAGAAAUGUACACAAAACCUAUGUAAUUUUAGAGAUAGUAUACUACAUAUUAUGAAUGUUUGUGUUUUAGUAAGAUGUAGUUAUGAGAUGUAGCAGUAAGAUAUAAUUUCUGGUUUGCUGACUGAUAUGCUACCGGUUUUUCCUACAAUUUAAGAAAACAUAUUGGGAUUCAAAUGAAUAAAAAUAAUGUUUGUGUACUGAAA